AACGAACGCUGGCGGCAUGCCUAACACAUGCAAGUCGAACGAGACCUUCGGGUCUAGUGUCGCACGGGUGCGUAACGCGUGGGAACCUGCCCUUAGGCUCGGAAUAACUCCCCGAAAGGGGUGCUAAUACCGGAUAAUGUCUUCGGACCAAAGAUUUAUCGCCUUUGGAUGGGCCCGCGUUGGAUUAGCUAGUUGGUAGGGUAAAAGCCUACCAAGGCGACGAUCCAUAGCUGGUCUGAGAGGAUGAUCAGCCACACUGGGACUGAGACACGGCCCAGACUCCUGCGGGAGGCAGCAGUGGGGAAUAUUGGACAGUGGGCGAAAGGCUGAUCCAGCGAUGCCGCGUGAGUGAUGAAGGCCUUAGGGUUGUAAAGCGCUUUUACCCGGGAUGAUGAUGACGGUACCGGGAGAAUAAGCUCCGGCUAACUACGUG
rnacentral:rRNA from 1 species